UAGAAGAGAGAUUAAAGAAUAAAGGGAGAGAGAUGCACGGUAUAGGAAGAUGGAAACAGAAGAGGAGAGAGGACAGGAGACCCACAGCACAGCAAUUCAUGACUGGGGGCUGAAGGUGAUGUGCGAGGGACAGAAUUCAUUGCAUUUCUUUGGCAAGACACAUUUACAGAAAUCACAGUCGUGUGUUGUGAAUCCUGCUGACCCAUCCCUAACGUAGGAAAUAUCACAUUGAUCAUACUCAGAAAGCGAGCGGCACUCACAAGUGAAGUGAAUGGUCUCCCUCCAAGACUUCCUCUGAGGUCCCUGCUGCCUCCUCACCCUGCCCCUCAUCGGUGUCCCAUCAUACAAUGAAGCCGGUGGGUGAGGAUAGAAUCAUGAGUCACUUCAGGCUUGAUACGCGCAGCCUUGGAGAGCCCCCACUCCAGCUCAUCAUAGUAUGGACAUGUGUCAUGUUCCUCUCCUACAGAGAAUGCUGGAGUCCUUCACACUCUGGUACAGGAGCCUGAAGUGCUCCAUGUGCUCCCAGCACAGGAAUGGGGUCCAGUGAAUGCCUGCCUCCUUCAGCCUCCGUAAAUCUCCUGGUAGAGGCAUAUGUUCCUGCCAGUAUGCGUUAAGUUGUGGUCUGACCACAUAUUAAUCAGCACGUGGGCAUGCUUCAGAGACCAGGAGGCAGGUCUUGGAACAUGAUCUGUGAUCACCAGUGCUGAUCAAUCCAGUUCAGGGGACAACUGAUCUUAAAUGCUCAGCACAGGUUGCUAUUACCUUUAUACAUUUGGGUAAGGGUCAGACGGCAAAACGAUCAAUGCUUUGUGGGAUUGGCCUUGGAUGACUAUCGUUACUCAUGACUUGGUGCAUGCCUUUUACCCCCAUCUACACUGUACUGUAGAAUGGGUACAGGGCCAUGGCACAAUGGAGGCAUGAAUAUGCCCAGAUUCCUCAGGCAUGCCAGUUGUCUCACACUACUCUGUCCUUCCGGAACAUGCUUCAGAUGGGGACAAUAAGGGAGUCAUGACACAACAAUGUGCAUCUCACCAUGCAUGGUCACAAGCAUAGACAGCUAUAGAUUAACAUGCAAAAGGACUGCACUCCCAACAUUGAAAUUUGUGUAUAAAAGUACAAAUGUAUUCGAUUAGGAAUGCUAAAGAAUACCAACAUAUACAAUAUCACUUUAUCACACAUUAAGAUGUCAUUAUGUUGUUUAUGUUUGCUUCUAAUUUCCCAAGUGGUUAAAAUUAAUUUCACCAUGCUAUGUUUCAAGGUUGUGGAAGACCACGUCAAAAGACAGGCGGUAUGAGUGACACUAAGGGAAAUGCCAGUUAACAGAAUUAUAUUGAAUCUGAUGGAAUUUCUUUAAAAUGCUCUGUUCAGAAGAUGAAAAGCUUUAUCAUGCUUAGGUUUAGAUUUAAUCCAACAUGAACCCCUUUAGCAGAAAAUGAGAAAGGAAAUGUACCUAGGUGCAGGGAAUGCUAAAAUACUCAGCCUUCAAACCACUUAUGCUUUUUGAGACGCUUCCACUCUCCUCCCCCACCACCACCAUCCAUCCCUGGAAUCCUUCACCUAUAAGAGAUGAAUGUCUGCUACUAUCUACAAUUGUACUUUGAGUUCCUUCAGAAACUUUAAUUUAAAACUAGUUUUCAGAAAACGUACACAGGGCCCAAUCCUGCAAACUCAUAUGGCUUCAAUGGAAUUACCUGAAUAACAGCUAUAUGCAGGAGUCAGGGUUGCAGGAUUAGGUAUAAAUUAUAUGAAAAUAUACACUGAAAUACAUAUACUUAAAGAACCUUGACACA